rnacentral:rRNA from 1 species
GUAGGGGGGGGCAAGCGUUGUCCGGAAUUAUUGGGCGUAAAGCGCGCGCAGGCGGCCCACCAAGUCAGAUGUGAAAUCCCUCGGCUUAACCGAGGACCUGCAUUUGAAACUGGUAGGCUAGAGUACAGGAGAGGGAAGUGGAAUUCCUAAUGUAGCGGUGAAAUGCGCAGAUAUUAGGAAGAACACCGGUGGCGAAGGCGGCUUCCUGGACUGUUACUGACGCUGAGGUGCGAAAGCUAGGGGAGCAAACAGGAUUAGAUACCCUGGUAGUCCUAGCCGUAAACGAUGGUCACUAGGUGUAGGGGGUUAUCAACUCCCCCUGUGCCGAAGCUAACGCAUUAAGUGACCCGCCUGGGGAGUACGGCCGCAAGGCUA